CAAUCUGUUUAGUUCUCAUAUAUUAAAUUUAUUCAUAUAUUGAAUAAAUGUUUAAGACAUUUAAGCUUACCUAUUGAAUUACAUGUGUAUAUCUUUUGAUUUCUGGUGUGUGUCUUUAAGAGUUUUUAAAUGAAUUUUAUUUAACUAUUUUAUAAGAUUAAUCAAUCCAUAAUAAAUAUGUAUUAUUUUUUAUUUAUAGAAAUUUUUGCUUUGAGGUAGGCUUUAUAAUAUUUAACUUUGCUUUUCUGAAAUGGAAUGAUUUCUUCUUUAGCCUACAGACCAAAUACAGUGUUAAAGAAAACUUCUAAAUACAAUGACUGAGAAUAUAAUUUCAAUUUAAGGUUCUUUAUUUAUUCAGGCCUAGAAAAUAAAAACAAGGUAAAAAUAAAUGAUAAAUUUAUCCAAAAAGCAAAUUUCAAAAACUGCUUUUCAUUCAAUUUAGGAUUUGGAUGAGGUGAUAAACUUUCCCUGAGGACCUGUGCCAGGUUCUACUUAAACAGAGCAUUGAUAUAUUUCCUUACUUCCUCAGAAAACACCACUAAAAUGAGAAUGAGGGGAUUGGAUCAUGUAAAUUCAUAAGAAAAAAACAGAAAUGGAGAAACAGAGCUCUACAAAAUUUUGGAAGAUAAAAAGUUUUGAAAAAGCCGAAAUAGAUAACCCUAUGAGGAGCAAGCUGAUUCUGGCCAUAGAAAACCAGGUAGAAGUAUUAUAACUUUGCUUUAAAGUUGUCCUUUCAAGACUUCAUAAAACAGAGUUCCAAGAAUCAAACUUAACCAGGCAUUCUCAGUACCAGGAUGCUGUGGAAUUCUGGCUGGAAAAGAAAAUAGAGGCAAGAAGUAAUACAGACAUAAGCAUUGGGCAAUCAUUAUUUUAUCAUCAUCCAGCUAGCCUCCCUGAAAUUAAUUAAGGUAGGAAUUAAUCCUUAACUUUCUCAUUAAAUGGUUAACAUUAGAAGUAAAACAACUUCAGCAAGUUCAAAUUUCCCUAGCUUUCCUGUUUACAAAUACUCUAACAUGUCAGGCCAGGCAAGAGACUACUUACCACAGGGAUAUUUCUAGAGUCAGAGUUCUAGAAUAAAAUCUCAGUUCUGUCUUUUACUAUGUAGGUCACUUUGAGUAAAUUAAUUAACUGCUCUAAGUCUGUUUCAUCAUUUAUAAAAUAUGGAUACUAUAUUAAAUUUAUACUUUUUUGAAAUUAAAAUAGUGUAUCUAAAGUUCUGGCAAAUUAAUGACACAUAUAUGUCAUAAAAAUCAAUGAAUCAUCAGCCUUCAAGAGCUGAUUGGAUAAGUGGAGAUAAGGAAGAAAAAUCAAUAGGUCUUCUAUGCUUUUUGAAUGGUUGACUAGAUGAAUGAUGAUGUCAUUCAUGAAGAUGGGAUUACAAAGAAGAUAGAUAUGGUGUGGAUAUGGAUUAGGAAAGAUGUGGUGAAGAGAAAGAUUAUUCUAGUUUUAGGUAUGUUGUAAUUAAGAUGCCUGAUUAUAAGAGGUGCCCUUCGCUGCUUACUCCAUCCAUAUCCCUUUCUAUGGAAAACUAUAUUCAACUUAUACCACUUGACCCCAUGCCUUGCCUAUUCCUUACCCAAGACCCAUAGACCCAGCUGAAAAAGGUGAGCUUAGAAAGUUAGACAUCUGAUUCAAAAAUUGGGAAUGAGGUCAUUAAGGUUAUUAGGAAGUCAUGCUGAAGGAAAAUGCAGGUUUAGUGGCUAAGGUGACCAUUUGAAACAGUAGAGAAAGACAAGAUGAUUGAAUAAAUAAUGAGAGUUAAUAGGUAACAGUGAUGAUGAUGAUAGGUAGACAUAUGGACAAAUAGAUAUAGAUAAAUAGAAAGACAAAUAGACUAGCUUCCACUUAUUAAUUGCUGACUUCUAAAUUUCUAGGUUCUUGGUGAGGCCUAAAAAUACUUAUUCAUGUUAUUAUUAUUUGUAUUCUUAUUUGUGAAUGCAUCCUUAAAAUAAGCCUACUUUGCAAUAGGAUAUGCCUUGACUAGAAUACCGUGGGUGAAACCAUCUACCUAUUUGGUGUUUUUGUUUUUGUUUUUGUUUUUUUCCUGUAAUCACCAAAGGACUCUAAAAUAGUAACUAGUAUGCAUGGUCAAUAAAAAAAUCAUAAUGUAUUUUAGCAAGCUUAGAGUGAUGAUAUUACAGAAAAGUUUAUAUUACGAUUAUGUACUCUGAACUCAACUACGUAUGCUCCUCAUUUCACAGUUGAUCUGUCAUGAAGGGCCAUGUUUAUUUCAUGUAUUAUGAAAUGAUAUGUCACUUAAUCUAAUCCCCCUCUCAGAAACCAAGAAAAUGCAUCACUAAGCAACCAUUUUUGCUUCUCUGCUGUAAGCACUUCUAACAUAGUCAUAUAAAAUUUAGUAAAUGAAACAUAGCAAAGGAUAUAAAAUGCAGUAUACUCAAAAAUCAAGAAUCACAUAACAAUUUUACAUUUUUCUAAGUCCCAUAUUUAGUAUUCCACAUGUCAAUUGGUCUUUGAGGAAAGCUAGAAGACAUGAAGCUUCCCAUUGAGUCUAGUUAUAUCCUAGGUUCCAAAUCUCUGUGGUUACUGAUGGUUUCAAGUAUAUUUAGGCAAGGACUUUGUUUUACUAACUAUCUUUACCUUAGGACAACCUGCAUAACACUUAAUCAUAACAGGGAAAAUUUAAACACAUCACUAAUUUAUUUCCAAAUAUAUACAGAAGGUAGCAUCUUUCUAUUUCUGGAAGGUUGUAUAUAAUAUGCUGUAAUUUAUUAUAGAAAAAUUAAUUUGUUUUUUAAAUCACAGUUUACAAUCCAAAUAUAAUAUACACCAUUGAGUCACUGAUUCAAGCAAGCCUUACAUAGAACUCAGAUUUAGGAGGAUAAUGGGAGCCCCAGAAUUCGUGGCCAUGGAAAGAAGCUGUGGGUGGAGUUCCUGUCGUGGCUCAGCACAAAUGAAUCUGACUAGCAUCCAUGAGGACACAGGUUCAAGCCCUGGCCUUGCUCAAUGGGUUAAGGAUCUGGUGUUGCAGGGUCCUAGGGUGCAGAUGUGGCUCAGAUCUAACAUUGCUGUGGCUGUGGUGUAGGCCAGUGGCUGCAGCUCUGAUUCCACUGCUUGUCUGGGGACCUCCAUAUGCUGCAGAACCCUAAAGAGACAAAAAGAAAAAAAA
rnacentral:lncRNA from 1 species